rnacentral:rRNA from 1 species
GACAGAGGUGCCAAGCGUUAGGCGGAAUCACUGGGCUUAAAGCGUGUGUAGGUGGAUGCCUAAGUACCUUGUGAAAUCCCACGGCUCAACCGUGGAAUUGCUUGGUAGACUGGGUGUCUUGAGCCACUUAGGGGUCGCUGGAACAAACGGUGGAGCGGUGAAAUGCGUAGAUAUCGUUUGGAACGCCAAUGGUGAAAACAGGCGAACUGGGGAGUGUGCUGACACUGAGACACGAAAGCCAGGGGAGCGAACGGG